rnacentral:rRNA from 1 species
GGAUUAGUAUGUUGGUCAUGCCUUGGUAUGUACUGAUGUAACUGAUUCCUCCCUUCUGACGAACCGUCAUGCCAUUAAUUUGGUGUGGCGGGAAAUCAGGACUGUUACUUUGAAAAAAUUAGAGUGCUCAAAGCAUGCAUUUCCGCUUGAAUAUAUUAGCAUGGAAUAAUAGAAUAGGAC